CAUAUGAAGAAAUACCUUUACAGUGUUAACGUAUAGCUUUGGACCCAUCAAAGUGAACUGCAAGGAUGGAGAGGCCUGUUUUCUGUGGCGAUGACCAAGAGGAAGAUCACCAUAUGCUGGAGCCCACUGCCGAGGUAUACUCGGUGAAGAACACCAUUUCCACCAGAAGAAUAAAGCAACAAUGAAAUAGACAUACUCACAUCGCAGGUAAAGAUUAAUUGCAUGGCUUAAAAAUCCACUGCCCCUUACACCACUCAAAAGUGAAGCGAUUGGCACAAACGACAUUGAUAUAGCAUUGGGGGACUGUGAUACAGUAGGAAGCCACUGGCUAUGACUUUGA